GAUCCUGGCUCAGGAUGAACGCUAGCGGCAGGCUUAACACAUGCAAGUCGAGGGGCAGCGCGGGAUAGCAAUAUCCUGGCGGCGACCGGCGGAAGGGUGCGUAACGCGUGAGCGACAUGCCCGUUGCCCGGGGACAACCGGUGGAAACGCCGACUAAUCCCCGAUGGGAUAUUGUGCCGCAUGGCACGAUAUUGGAAGUUACGGCGGCGACGGAUUGGCUCGUGUCCGAUUAGCUUGUUGG
rnacentral:rRNA from 1 species